rnacentral:sRNA from 1 species
GAGAACCCAGGGCUCGCCGGGAUGCUGUCCUCCCUCCCUCUGCCAAGCUGGUGGGAAGGCCCUUGCCAAAGCGCACAAGACCCCUUCACACAGCAGGGGCACAAGGUCUUCGAGGCAGAGUCGCCUGCAGGUGGGGUGGAAGGGGUGCGCCCCAGACCCGAGGAUUGCCCACCUCUCCAAGACCAUCCCUGGCUGCUGGCCCAGUGAUGAGCACCAUCCGGAAGUGAAGGCUGAUGGGUACGUGGACAACCUCGCAGAGGCAGUGGACCUGCUGCUGCAGCACGCGGACAAGUGACAGCCUCCUGGGAGAGCCCC